AUUUCCCUAUAAUUAUGUUUCCUUCUCUAGUUUGUUUUUCUUUGUUCAAUACCUUAAUAAUUACUAACUAUUUCAGUAUAGCAAUACCUAUAAUAUCUCAGAAGUCUCACAACUACACCCACUCAGGUCUGUAGGAAUACCUCAUCUUCCGGACAACACAUUCCCAAACAGAAACAACAGGAGAUAGCAAAAGAGAAAAAUGGUACACGUUCACAGACUCAUCCCUUGGCACCAUUCUUCCUAAUUUGCCACAACCCUUGCAUUUACCCAUUUGGCGCACACCGAUAAAACUACAAAUGCAACACUCCGGUUCAAACAGCUCACAUGGCCUUCCCUCCUUGUUUCAAUGGUAGAGGGAUUAGAAGUGCCUUAAGCUUUCCCCGCAGACGCGAAAAUCACACAGAGCGAGACAGAGAGAGAGAGAAAGAAGGGCAGGUCACAAUACAUUACAGGGGUG
rnacentral:misc_RNA from 1 species